ensembl:lncRNA
ACAGCAGUUGGAGAUGCCGAACAUUUGGUUCUCAGGGCAGUAUGUGAAAAGUGAAAACACGCACGGGACGCCAUCUAGCGGUGACUGUGCGUCACUGAAUAAUGCAGCCGCGCUGAAUGAACUCACCUCCAGACGCUCCUGGAUUCGGGAUUGGGACUCUUUACGUUCUUAAAGAAAUUCUUAAGUUCUGCCGUCAUGAGUGAGAACUCCAUCUCCAGCAGAUGGAGACGAGAUACAGCUGACCAGGAGCUGGAUGGACUAUGAGCAGGAUUUGACUCUCUUGCAGACAUGGUGUAAGAUGGAUAAAAACACAAUUCAUUCUGUGUACCGCUUACUUCCUGUCAGGGAUGUAGGAGAGGCAGCGAUAUUCAAUGCUAAAGGUGGAGUUGCGUCCAUCACAUUGAAAGCUCAACACCCUGCAGCAUCUAUACAAGCUGUAGAGAUCAGCUCUCAGUAUUUACUGCUCUUCUGCAGCCAGGACUACAUUUCACAGGUCACCAUCACAGGGGGCGGAUCCCACACUGUGGCCCUUUGUCCCAAACCCCUCACAGCACCACCACAGAGAUUAUAA